GAUGAACGCUGGCGGCGUGCCUAAUACAUGCAAGUCGAGCGAACGGACGAGAAUCUUGCUUCUCUGAUGUUAGCGGCGGACGGGUGAGUAACACGUGGAUAACCUACCUAUAAGACUGGGAUAACUUCGGGAAACCGGAGCUAAUACCGGAUAAUAUUUUGAACCGCAUGGUUCAAAAGUGAAAUACGGUCUUUCUGGCAGUUAUAGAUGGAUCCGCGCUGCAUGAGCUAGUUGGUAAGGUAACGGCUUACCAAGGCAACGAUGCAUAGCCGACCUGAGAGGGUGAUCGGCCACACUGGAACUGAGACACGGUCCAGACUCCUACGGGAGGCAGCAGUAGGGAAUCUUACGCAAUGGGCGAAAGCCUGACGGAGCAACGCCGCGUGAGUGAUGAAGGUGUUCGGAUCGUAAAACUCUGUUAUUAGGGAAGAACAUAUGUGUAAGUAACUGUGCACAUAUUGACGGUACCUAAUAAGAAAGCCACGGCUAACUACGUG
rnacentral:rRNA from 1 species